AGUGAACGCUGGCGGUAGGCCUAACACAUGCAAGUCGAACGGCAGCACAGUAAGAGCUUGCUCUUACGGGUGGCGAGUGGCGGACGGGUGAGGAAUACAUCGGAAUCUACUUUUUCGUGGGGGAUAACGUAGGGAAACUUACGCUAAUACCGCAUACGACCUACGGGUGAAAGCAGGGGAUCUUCGGACCUUGCGCGAUUGAAUGAGCCGAUGUCGGAUUAGCUAGUUGGCGGGGUAAAGGCCCACCAAGGCGACGAUCCGUAGCUGGUCUGAGAGGAUGAUCAGCCACACUGGAACUGAGACACGGUCCAGACUCCUACGGGAGGCAGCAGUGGGGAAUAUUGGACAAUGGGCGCAAGCCGGAUCCAGCCAUACCGCGUGGGUGAAGAAGGCCUUCGGGUUGUAAAGACCUUUUGUUGGGAAAGAAAAGCAGCAGGUUAAUACCCCGCUGUUCUGACGGUACCCAAAGAAUAAGCACCGGCUAACUUCGUG
rnacentral:rRNA from 1 species